rnacentral:tRNA from 1 species
GCCUGACUGGCUCAGUUGGUGGAGCGUGUGAUUCUCAAUCUUGGGGUCAUGUGUUCGAGCCCCAUGUUGGGGU